CCCAAAUUAUCUCAAAGGACAAAGUGAUGGGGAUCGAUGUGGCUUGUAACUCCUUCCUUAACUCCCUUGCUAUUGAUGUUUUCUAACAAGAGAUCCAAACUGCGACAAGGGAAACGAGUGAAGAAAGACCUUUCGAAAGAGGAGCAAAAUGGGAGCUGGUCCAAGCGUCUGUAAUUAGCUAAUGGCUGUGAAUAUUUAUGAAAUCUCCCAGCAGUGGCAGAGAAGUGCUGAUCCCAGAGAAGUGGACGCCCUCUUCCUUGAUGUCUUUAAUCCUUGCAGUCCCAGCUGCCAUGGCUCGAGUUUUGGAAAACCCCACCCUCUUUCUGGCCUCUGAUCAAAAUCAAUAUUUCAGAGGGAAAUGCAGAAGAGCAAAGGAGUUAAACAAAAGUUCAGAUAAGCAUAACAAAUGCUGGAAAGAUGAGAUCCUCCAAGCAGAGUGCUCUAGAAAGCACUCCUGUUAAUCUGGGCAAGGCUCUCAUCAAUUGCUCUGAGCAGGAAGUGCUAUUAUUGGACUCAUAAGGAGAGGAGAGAGCAGCCCAGUGGAGAUGGACAGAUCACAUCUUGCCUGACCAGAUGAAAAGAGAAGAAAUCAGGAUAUGAUGGGGAAGGAAAGCGGCAGAGCCACCGUGUGAAUUUGGGUGUGCUGAAAGAAAUGAAAUCAUCAGGAUCUCUGUGAGCAGGACUUACCUUUGCAUGGAGCUCAGGACAAAGUGAGAUUUGAUUAAUCUGCAAAAACAAUUAGCUGAUGUGCUGAGGACGUGUGGGAUCCCCAGAGAACUGUGUCUGAUGGAGUUUUACAUCUUCCACUUCACCUUCUGUGUCUUGCAAUCAACAGAGCCAAAGAAAAGCUUCUCUAUAUUGGGAAUGUAUUGAAAAAAACCUGAAACUGUUGUAACAACAUGUUUUGUUGAUAUGAAAUUAUUUUCUCUUUCUUCUCACCAGCCGCUAGUGAGGAAAAAAAGUUGAGGUGGAAGUGUAAUGACAAAUGAUUUACAGAUGGAUUCCUUUUUCACUGUAUUCCCAUUAAGAUGGGUUGUAAACACUUCACUUUCUUAGCCCAAGAUAUUUUUCAGAAUCUGUUCUGUUUAGGUUUAACUUGUUAGAUUUGGAAUAAACUCUUCAAAAGACUGAGCAGCUCUUGAGCCAACCCAACAGAAUUGAGUUGCCUCUGUCAUAGACUUUCAUUGAAAAAUUUCAUCUUAACAUGAGCUUUACCUGUGCAUCUGAUAUUUUAACACUAUUGGAUGUUUAUGUCCUGUUGAUUAAGCCUUUUAUUAAAACUUUAGAAAAAAUACAACAGAGCAAUUAAAAGUAUGUGUAUAUAUAAUUUCACAAGCAUUUUAGAAGUCCAUACAAUAAAACAAGCAUGUGCUUAUGCUAUACUUAUUUGUUUUCAUUAUUCACAAGAAAAAGUAAAUUCCACUUUUAUCUGUAAAACAGGGCAAUACCAAGAUAUCUAAGAUGUUGUAUUGUUUCUAUUUGAAAAAUAAAAAUGGUAAAAACACCCAAACUUUAACUGUGAGUACUUUAGAGCAGGAGCUGCCUUUUCUGUCAUGAUUUAUGUUCUGGUGCUGCCAAGAGGAUUCUUAUGUUUAAAAAGUCUUUAAAAGCCUAUAAUCACACAGAAUUUCCACAGGUGGAAAGCAGCCAGAGCUCCACCAAAACCUAUAGGAGCUGCACAAAUAACAAAUAAUAAACAGCCCUGGAGUGCAGACACUGAUUUCCAAAUAAAGAUUGACAGAUCCUUUUACUUCCUGCACAUUGUGUCUUAGGAUAAAUAAGAGAGCCCAAACAAAUCCUUUUGGU